rnacentral:rRNA from 1 species
UGGGGAAUAUUGCACAAUGGGCGCAAGCCUGAUGCAGCCAUGCCGCGUGUAUGAAGAAGGCCUUCGGGUUGUAAAGUACUUUCAGCGGGGAGGAAGGUGUUGAGGUUAAUAACCUCAGCAAUUGACGUUACCCGCAGAAGAAGCACCGGCUAACUCGGUGCCAGCAGCCGCGGUAAUACGGAGGGUGCAAGCGUUAAUCGGAAUUACUGGGCGUAAAGCGCACGCAGGCGGUCUUUCAAGUCGGAUGUGAAAUCCCCGGGCUCAACCUGGGAACUGCAUUCGAAACUGGCAGGCUAGAGUCUUGUAGAGGGGGGUAGAAUUCCAGGUGUAGCGGUGAAAUGCGUAGAGAUCUGGAGGAAUACCGGUGGCGAAGGCGGCCCCCUGGACAAAGACUGACGCUCAGGUGCGAAAGCGUGGGGAGCAAACA